CACGUAGGGUGCGAGCGUUGUCCGGAAUUAUUGGGCGUAAAGAGCUCGUAGGCGGUCUGUCGCGUCGGCUGUGAAAACCCGAGGCUCAACCUCGGGCCUGCAGUCGAUACGGGCAAACUGGAGUGUUGCAGGGGAGACUGGAAUUCCUGGUGUAGCGGUGAAAUGCGCAGAUAUCAGGAGGAACACCGGUGGCGAAGGCGGGUCUCUGGGCAGUAACUGACGCUGAGGAGCGAAAGCGUGGGGAGCGAACAGG
rnacentral:rRNA from 1 species